AUGCUCACUUCUGCAGCACAUAUACUAAAAUUGGAACAAUACAGAGAAGAUCAGCAUGGCCCCUGCUCAAGGGUGACACACAAAUUUAUGAAGUGCUUCAUAUAUUA
ensembl:snRNA U6 U6 spliceosomal RNA